UGCUAUACAUGCAAGUCGAGCGAACAGAUAAGGAGCUUGCUCCUUUGACGUUAGCGGCGGACGGGUGAGUAACACGUGGAUAACCUACCUAUAAGACUGGGAUAACUUCGGGAAACCGGAGCUAAUACCGGAUAAGAUUUUGAACCGCAUGGUUCAAUAGUGAAAGACGGCCUUGCUGUCACUUAUAGAUGGAUCCGCGCCGUAUUAGCUAGUUGGUAAGGUAACGGCUUACCAAGGCAACGAUACGUAGCCGACCUGAGAGGGUGAUCGGCCACACUGGAACUGAGACACGGUCCAGACUCCUACGGGAGGCAGCAGUAGGGAAUCUUCCGCAAUGGGCGAAAGCCUGACGGAGCAACGCCGCGUGAGUGAUGAAGGUCUUCGGAUCGUAAAACUCUGUUAUCAGGGAAGAACAAACGUGUAAGUAACUGUGCACGUCUUGACGGUACCUGAUCAGAAAGCCACGGCUAACUACGUGCCAGCAGCC
rnacentral:rRNA from 1 species